CGGCGGACGGGUGAGUAAUGCCUAGGAAUCUGCCUGGUAGUGGGGGACAACGUUUCGAAAGGAACGCUAAUACCGCAUACGUCCUACGGGAGAAAGCAGGGGACCUUCGGACCUUGCGCGAUUGAAUGAGCCGAUGUCGGAUUAGCUAGUUGGCGGGGUAAAGGCCCACCAAGGCGACGAUCCGUAGCUGGUCUGAGAGGAUGAUCAGCCACACUGGAACUGAGACACGGUCCAGACUCCUACGGGAGGCAGCAGGC
rnacentral:rRNA from 1 species